rnacentral:rRNA from 1 species
UACGGGGGGGGCAAGCGUUGUUCGGAAUUACUGGGCGUAAAGGGCUCGUAGGCGGCCAACUAAGUCAGACGUGAAAUCCCUCGGCUUAACCGGGGAACUGCGUCUGAUACUGGAUGGCUUGAAUCCGGGAGAGGGAUGCGGAAUUCCAGGUGUAGCGGUGAAAUGCGUAGAUAUCUGGAGGAACACCUAUGGCGAAGGCAGCUCUCUGGGACGGUACUGACGCUGAGACGCGAAAGCGUGGGGAGCGAACAGG